UACAGAGGGUGCAAGCGUUUGUUCGGAAUUAUUGGGCGUAAAAGCGCGUGUAGGCGGCAUGGCAAGUCGGGUGUGAAAGCCCUCAGCUUAACUGAGGAAGUGCGCCCGAAACUGCCGUGCUUGAGUGCCGGAGAGGGUGGCGGAAUUCCCCAAGUAGAGGUGAAAUUCGUAGAUAUGGGGAGGAACACCGGUGGCGAAGGCGGCCACCUGGACGGUAACUGACGCUGAGGAGCGAAAGCGUGGGGAGCGAACAGG
rnacentral:rRNA from 1 species